AACAAAAGAAAGAAAAAAGAAAAGAGAGAAUCUGAUGGAACAAAGAAAAACACUCACCAUAUGAAAAAAAAAACUCAGUUGGAUACAAAAUCAAAAACAAAAAGAACUGAGUAACUGAGCUGAAAAAAGAAAAGAAAGGUCAAUGGUAUUUUAGAAUAAACACAGUGAAAAGAAUAAUGACAUUGACUAUGAACCCAAAAACCAUU
rnacentral:lncRNA from 1 species